CACAGACCACAUACCAUGGACUUAGGGCUCAUAUUGGUUUUCUUUGUCCUUAUUUUAAAAGUUAUCCAGUGUGAUGUGCAGUUGUUGGAGUCUGGUGGAGGCUUAGCGCAGCCUGGAAAAUCCCUGAAACUCUCCUGUGCAGCCUCAGGAUUCACCCUCCGUAGUUACCCAAUGAACUGGGUCCACCAGGCUCCAGGGAAGGGGUUAGAGUGUGUCGCAUACAUUAGAAGUAAUGUAUACUAUACCGAUGCUGUGAAGGGCCGGUUCACAAUCUCCAGAGACAAUGCCAAGAACACUCUGUACCUGGAAAUGAACAGUCUGAGGUCAGAGGAUUCAGCCAUGUAUUACUGUGCAAGAGACACAGUGAGUGAAUGCUACUGUGAGCUCAGACAAAAACCUCCCCAUAGGGAACACUGGAACAGCAGGGGGCGCGGAGAGGACUUAAAAAUCUGGGUCACAGGAGAGCCUGCUUAG